rfam:Eutrema salsugineum unplaced genomic scaffold scaffold_6, whole genome shotgun sequence.
CGCUGGAGGCAGCGGUUCAUCGAUCAAUUCCUGAGAAAUUUUCUUUCGAUGUUGGACACUUUACAUCGAAAGCAUGAAUCGAUCGAUAAACCUCUGCAUCCAGC